rnacentral:rRNA from 1 species
CACAAGCGGUGGAGCAUGUGGUUUAAUUCGACGCAACGCGAAGAACCUUACCAGGGCUUGACAUCCCCUGACCGCGUAUGAAAGUACGUUUUCACCCUCGGGUGACAGGGAGACAGGUGGUGCAUGGUUGUCGUCAGCUCGUGUCGUGAGAUGUUGGGUUAAGUCCCGCAACGAGCGCAACCCCUACGUUUAGUUGCUAACGCGUGAAGGCGAGCACUCUAGACGAACUGCCGUUGACAAAACGGAGGAAGGUGGGAUGACGUCAAAUCAUCAUGCCCCUUAUGUUCUGGGCUACACACGUGCUACAAUGGCCGGUACAGACGGACGCAAAGCCGCGAGGUGGAGCAAAUCCUAAAAAGCCGGUCUCAGUUCGGAUUGCAGGCUGCAAUUCGCCUGCAUGAAGUCGGAAUCGCUAGUAAUCGCAGGUCAGCAUACUGCGGUGAAUACGUUCCCGGGCCUU